rnacentral:rRNA from 1 species
ACGGAAGGCAGCAGUGGGGGAUAUUGCACAAUGGGGGAAACCCCGAUGCAGCGACGCCGCGUGAGUGAAGAAGUAUUUCGGUAUGUAAAGCUCUAUCAGCAGGGAAGAAAAUGACGGUACCUGACUAAGAAGCUCCGGCUAAAUACGUGCCAGCAGCCGCGGUAAUACGUAUGGAGCAAGCGUUAUCCGGAUUUACUGGGUGUAAAGGGAGCGUAGACGGUUUGCCAAGUCUGAUGUGAAAGCUUGGGGCUCAACCCCGAAACUGCAUUGGAAACUGGUAGACUAGAGUGUCGGAGAGGUAAGUGGAAUUCCUAGUGUAGCGGUGAAAUGCGUAGAUAUUAGGAGGAACACCAGUGGCGAAGGCGGCUUACUGGACGAUAACUGACGUUGAGGCUCGAAAGCGUGGGGAGCAAACAGGAUUAGAUACCCUGGUA